rnacentral:rRNA from 1 species
AUUGAACGCUGGCGGCAGGCCUAACACAUGCAAGUCGAGCGAGCGGCGGACGGGUGAGUAAUGUCUGGGAAACUGCCUGAUGGAGGGGGAUAACUACUGGAAACGGUAGCUAAUACCGCAUACCAUCAGAUGUGCCCAGAUGGGAUUAGCUAGUGGGUGGGGUAACGGCUCACCUAGGCGACGAUCCCUAGCUGGUCUGAGAGGAUGACCAGCCACACGGGAACUGGGACACGGUCCAGACUCCUACGGGAGGAAGCAGUGGGGAAUAUUGCAAAAUGGGCGCAAGCCUGAUGCAGAAAUGCGGGGUGUGGGAAGAAGGCCUUCGGGUUGUAAAGCACUUUCAGCGGGGAGGCGGUACCCGCAGAAGAAGCACCGGCUAACUCCGUGCCAGCAGCCGCGGUAAUUC